CGAGGCGGCGGCGCGCGGGGGGCCGGGCGCAGUGCGCAGGCGUGGGCGGCGGCGUGCGGAGGCGGGUUUGAACGGUGGCGGGCGGCGGAGCGGAGCUGCGAAUGGAGUCCGUCCUGAAAGGUGUUUCAGCAUUUGUAGAUGUUUGGUCAUCCAACAGAACAGAAAACUACUCGAAAACCUUUGAACAGCAACUUCUUGAUAUGGGAGCAAAAGUUUCAAAAACUUUCAACAAGCACGUGACCCAUGUAGUCUUCAAAGAAGGACGUUUGGCUACAUGGAGAAAAGCACAGAAGACUGGUGUAAAAAUAGUUUCUGUACUCUGGGUGGAGAAAUGUCGAGAAACUGGAGUACAUGUUGAUGAAUCUUUAUUUCCUGCAGUAUACGCUAAUGAAGGAUUGCCAUUGCUGAUUAAAAAACACAAAUGUAUGCAGCCGAAAGACUUUGUUGAAAAAACUCCAGAAAAUGAUAGAAAGCUGCAGAGGAGGCUGGACCAGAUGGCUAAAGAAUUAGCUAUACAAAAAACGGCAAGUAAUGCUGAAACUGAUAUACCAGUUUUAUUAUUUGAAGAUGAUGGUUCGCUUGUAUAUAGCCCUGUUAAUAAGAUAAAAGACCAAUGCAGUGCAAUGGAAAGACGAAUAAAGGAGAUGAAGGAAAAGAGAGAAAAUCUGUCUCUUACUGCUUCACAGAUAUCUCAGAUACCUCCAUGUAAUUCACCAAAAGACUGCCAGCUGUCCGCCUGCAUUUUAACUGAUUCACCAGAUGCAUUGCCAGAAAAACAGAUGCAAGACUGCCUAAACUCAAGUUUUGAUGAUCUUUGGGGAACUAAUAAGUUCAAAAGACAGAAAACAGAGGUAGUUGAACACAUCUGUGAUACUCGGAGUGAUGCACACAUUUCCAUGAGUGCAUCAGUGAAUCCUCCCUCAUGUAGCUAUAACCAGAAGACCUUAACACCAAAGCAAUCUAGCAGGAGAUGCUUAGGUAAAAAACAGAUUUUGCAACACACUUUGGAUGAUAAAUUGUCUUCAGAAAAGAAUGAUUUUAAAAAGUUUCCAAACAAAAAUUGGAUUGGUGAAAAUACCAUAACUCCAUUUGCAAACAAAAGUUCACUUCCCCAAAUCAAGGGCUUGAGUCAUGUUACUCCUUCUGAAAAAAAAUUCCAGUUAAAUACGACUACUGCUUUGGUUGGCAGUCACUCUGAUUCACCAGUGAGCAGUGAAGACUUAAAUACACAUUCAUUUGGUAGAAGUUUGCCUGUUGACAUAAGCGAUUGUACUCUUGAAGACAAAAGGAAGAAGAAACCAAAAGUACGAUCUAGUUUGAAACUGGCUACCUCAGAACUGCGUGCAUCAGGGUCUGAAAAGGAAUUCUUGAGAGCAGUUACUACAUAUAACAAGCCUUUGUGCACUGAGGAGGCAUCUUAUGAAGACUACUUUUCAUCAUCUAAUUUAAAUGAAAAUGAAAUACAGAUAUGGGUACCAAAGAAAUCACAGAAUCCUCCUGAAGUUUGUUGCAAUGACUCUUUUAGAAAAAUAGAGUCACUUGAUGUGAGUUUCUAUAAGCUUCAUGCUACUCCUGAGAAAAGUAGGGAAAAAUCUAUUCCAGCAAACGAUGUUUCAUUAGAGAAUAACUUCAAGUCAACUGAACAUCCAGAAAGCAUACCAUUAAAUUGUAUGUCACAGGGUGAAAAUGCUGAGAAUACAGAAGCUCUAGAUUCUGACAUUGUGGAUAGGCAUGCUCUCGACAAAUCCUACGGAACCAAUAUGAAUUACUGUACUCACAUUACUGGUGAUGAAAAUGAAGUUUCAGAGUGUCAUGUUACUGAUGGCUCUUGCAAACUUUUUAAUGAACAAGAAAAUAAGCUCAAUGGGGGGUUAAGGAAAACUGGAAGACUUCAAAAGCCAACAAGAACACUAGUUAUGACGAGUAUGUCUUCUGAAAAACAAAAUACCAUAAUUCAGGUAGUGAAUAAACUUGGAGACUUUUUGUUCUCAGAUGAUGUAUGCGAAACAACAAGUCAUGUAGUUGCAGGGAGUCCUCGUCGCACCCUGAAUGUUAUGCUGGGAAUUGCUCGUGGAUGUUGGAUCGUUUCUUAUGAAUGGGUUCUAUGGUCUUUGGAAUUGGGCCACUGGAUCUCAGAGGAACCGUAUGAGCUAUCAUCCAACUUCCCUGCUGCUCCUGAGGAGACAGCUUUUCAACUGAGAACUGUGAACUUCAAUAAAUAUCAGAUACAGUUGGAUGAUGUAGAAAAGAGACAGGAAUCAGCAUGAUCAGUUAUGCUGCACACUGACAAACCAUCUACUCAUUCCAGAGAUGAUCUCAUGUCUAAAUUACAAUACAGGAUAUUUACACACAAGUAUCAAAAGAAUGCAGUCUGGAGCAUAGUGUAAAUAAGGAAGAAAUUGCCUUGUCAAAGGUGGAAGAACUUCCUUGAUAAGGAUAUCACAGACCUUGCUAGCAGGGGAUGAAGAACCAUCUACAGAGGACAAGAAACAAGCAAAUCCUUUUACUUAAAAAAAGAGGCAAAGCUCUCCUCCAGCACAUUGUCACAUUCAUGAGUGGACAAGUGCCAGGGACCAUCAGACUGCCUUGCCGGAAACAUGGAAGGAGAGUUAUAACAGAAGACAUUUUCAUUACAUUAAGCUCUGUUACUCAAAAGAAGAAAAAUUACUGCACUAGAAAUGGUCUGAGGUGCUUCAUCUUUAGCCAUUGCCUGCCAUCUUCUCCUUAAUAAAGGGAAAGACCAACAUCUGAAGUAGAUCAGGACAGGCUCUGUCGGUCCACCUCUCCAGCAAACAUCGGUGCUAGGACAAAUUUGGACUUAUCCAAUCCAAUUCUGGAUUCUGACAGAAGCAGAAAAAGCUUUACAGAUUAUUUCUUUUUAAAAUGUAAUCAGACACCAGCGAGCUCUGAGGAUGGAGCGCCCCGUCCAGCCCUGCCGCUCGCUGCCUUCCACGUGGGGAAUCCCGGCUGCAGAUGAGUCGGAGGAGAACCCGCAUCUCAGCACAACCAGUGACGUGCAAACUAACGCACCCAGCGACACCCAGCUCCUGCCGAUGCCCCCAGCAGGUCACUAAGGAAAGGGCUCACAUCCAUGAAGAGAUUCAAUACAUAAAAACAGGUAUGGGUAAUGGCUCUAAUACAGUUGCAGUCGGUAUGGAUUUCUUCUAACAGCCAGUACUAAUGAGCCUCUGGCAGUGGAAGACAUCGAUAAGGAGCCAAACCUGAGGAGCAAGUAUGUGGGUCCUGAUCACCUUGCAGCUCCCGGUGAAAUCGGUGGUCGGGUGGGUGCUCAGAGGCCUCAUCGAGACAGGGUGCUCUGCAGAAGCAGUUUCCUGUUUUCACAACAUGAAGUGUGUGUUUGCCCUGCUCAACACCACAUUAGGUCUUUAUCUGGUCUUUGAUUUCUCCUGGGUUUCAUAAAUCCCCUCUAGCCCCAUCCCUCACUCCAAAGUACCAUUUAAUGUAGCCGGUGGAUAAAAAGCAUAUGUAACUUUUUCAAUAAGAUUUCUGGCUUCACUCUUUUAACCCAAAGAAUAACUAUAAAUAGUUUAUAAUGUCUGGGAUUUCCACAGCCUAAGUGCAGCUAUAAAUAGUUCUAAACAUUUUCCCACUUCAUGCUUUUGAAAAGAACAUUCUCCACUUCCUUUCUUGGCGAACCCCUGGGAAUAAUGCUAGAUCGCAGCUCAGAAAAUAUGUAUAUUAGGAGAGUUUAGCAAAACAUAGCUAACAAAGUUGCUAACAGCAGCUCUCAAAUUAAUUUCACAUAAGGAAAGGGUCAUGCAUCUUUUGUAACAAGUUCAUAUUCAUAAUUCACCCCAGGACACUCAAACCAACCAUUUGUGGUAUGUCUCUAUUCACUCAGCCCAUAAGGGUAUUUUGAGGGUUGUUUGUUUUUGCAAGGAAUUCGUUGUUCUCCGGCCUCGCAAGCGAUGGCAGGAUUUAUUUGUAUUUACUUGAAGUACGUGUGUGUCCAGCAUCUGGUAUUUCAGACAUUAAAGCAGAACACGUCCUUUCGUCUUAUUUUUAAGCACGACUUCAGUACCCUCCUGCAGACGUCUGUGCGACUGGAACCGCUCACCCGAGACGCGCAGGAAGGGCAUAAGCCCGGCUCGGCGGAGGCUUUCCCAGGCGGCGGCCCCGC